rnacentral:rRNA from 1 species
UACGGAGGGUGCGAGCGUUGUCCGGAAUCAUUGGGCGUAAAGGGCGCGUAGGUGGCCUGGCAAGCGUGCGGUGAAAGCUCGGGGCUCAACCCCGAGUCGGCCGUGCGAACUGCUAUGGCUCGAGCACUGUAGAGGCAGGCGGAAUCCGGGUGUAGCGGUGGAAUGCGUAGAGGACUCCGGAAGAACGACCGGUGGCGAAGGCGGCCUGCUGG